rnacentral:rRNA from 1 species
UGGGGAAUUUUCCGCAAUGGGCGAAAGCCUGACGGAGCAAUGCCGCGUGGAGGUGGAAGGCCUACGGGUCGUCAACUUCUUUUCUCGGAGAAGAAACAAUGACGGUAUCUGAGGAAUAAGCAUCGGCUAACUCUGUGCCAG